GGGUUGUGAGGUUAAGCGACUAAGCGUACACGGUGGAUGCCCUGGCAGUCAGAGGCGAUGAAGGGCGUGCUAAUCUGCGAUAAGCGCCGGUAAGGUGAUAUGAACCGUUAUAACCGGCGAUACCCGAAUGGGGAAACCCAGUGUGAUUCGUCACACUAUCAUUAACUGAAUCCAUAGGUUAAUGAGGCGAACCGGGGGAACUGAAACAUCUAAGUACCCCGAGGAAAAGAAAUCAACCGAGAUUCCCCCAGUAGCGGCGAGCGAACGGGGAGGAGCCCAGAGCCUGAAUCAGCAUGUGUGUUAGUGGAAGCGUCUGGAAAGGCGCGCGAUACAGGGUGACAGCCCCGUACACAAAAGCGCAUGUGCUGUGAGCUCGAUGAGUAGGGCGGGACACGUGGUAUCCUGUCUGAAUAUGGGGGGACCAUCCUCCAAGGCUAAAUACUCCUGACUGACCGAUAGUGAACCAGUACCGUGAGGGAAAGGCGAAAAGAACCCCGGCGAGGGGAGUGAAAAAGAACCUGAAACCGUGUACGUACAAGCAGUGGGAGCCCCACCACCAAAGCAUUCUCUGGUGUUGAAGGCCCUGCAAAGCAGCAUCGCGGUGGCGGAGCGUCGUUUGCGACGCCCAACACACAAAACAAGCGGUGAGUGCUUUGGGGUGGGGUGACUGCGUACCUUUUGUAUAAUGGGUCAGCGACUUAUAUUCUGUAGCAAGGUUAACCGAAUAGGGGAGCCGGAGGGAAACCGAGUCUUAAUUGGGCGUUAAGUUGCAGGGUAUAGACCCGAAACCCGGUGAUCUAGCCAUGGGCAGGUUGAAGGUUGGGUAACACUAACUGGAGGACCGAACCGACUAAUGUUGAAAAAUUAGCGGAUGACCUGUGGCUGGGGGUGAAAGGCCAAUCAAACCGGGAGAUAGCUGGUUCUCCCCGAAAGCUAUUUAGGUAGCGCCUCGUGAAUUCAUCUCCGGGGGUAGAGCACUGUUUCGGCUAGGGGCCAUCCCGGCUUACCAACCCGAUGCAAACUGCGAAUACCGGAGAAUGUUAUCACGGGAGACACACGGCGGGUGCUAACGUCCGUCGUGAAGAGGGAAACAACCCAGACCGCCAGCUAAGGUCCCAAAGUCAUGGUUAAGUGGGAAACGAUGUGGGAAGGCCCAGACAGCCAGGAUGUUGGCUUAGAAGCAGCCAUCAUUUAAAGAAAGCGUAAUAGCUCACUGGUCGAGUCGGCCUGCGCGGAAGAUGUAACGGGGCUAAACCAUGCACCGAAGCUGCGGCAGCGAACGUAUCACUUAAAGCGAUUCAGCGGGUUACGAUUGACGGAGCGAAGCGACGUCAAAGCGUAUACAAAGUCGAGUCGGUUUAAGGAUACGUUCGUUGGGUAGGGGAGCGUUCUGUAAGCCUGCGAAGGUGGCCUGUGAGGGUUGCUGGAGGUAUCAGAAGUGCGAAUGCUGACAUAAGUAACGAUAAAGCGGGUGAAAAGCCCGCUCGCCGGAAGACCAAGGGUUCCUGUCCAACGUUAAUCGGGGCAGGGUGAGUCGACCCCUAAGGCGAGGCCGAAAGGCGUAGUCGAUGGGAAACGGGUUAAUAUUCCCGUACUUGGUGUUACUGCGAAGGGGGGACGGAGAAGGCUAUGUUGGCCGGGCGACGGUUGUCCCGGUUUAAGCGUGUAGGUGUGUGUUCCAGGUAAAUCCGGUUCACUUUAACACUGAGGCGUGACGACGAGGCACUACGGUGCUGAAGCAACAAAUGCCCUGCUUCCAGGAAAAGCCUCUAAGCAUCAGGUAACAUCAAAUCGUACCCCAAACCGACACAGGUGGUCAGGUAGAGAAUACCAAGGCGCUUGAGAGAACUCGGGUGAAGGAACUAGGCAAAAUGGUGCCGUAACUUCGGGAGAAGGCACGCUGACACGUAGGUGAAGUGAUUUACUCACGGAGCUGAAGUCAGUCGAAGAUACCAGCUGGCUGCAACUGUUUAUUAAAAACACAGCACUGUGCAAACACGAAAGUGGACGUAUACGGUGUGACGCCUGCCCGGUGCCGGAAGGUUAAUUGAUGGGGUCAGCGCAAGCGAAGCUCCUGAUCGAAGCCCCGGUAAACGGCGGCCGUAACUAUAACGGUCCUAAGGUAGCGAAAUUCCUUGUCGGGUAAGUUCCGACCUGCACGAAUGGCGUAAUGAUGGCCAGGCUGUCUCCACCCGAGACUCAGUGAAAUUGAACUCGCUGUGAAGAUGCAGUGUACCCGCGGCAAGACGGAAAGACCCCGUGAACCUUUACUAUAGCUUGACACUGAACAUUGAGCCUUGAUGUGUAGGAUAGGUGGGAGGCUUUGAAGUGUGGACGCCAGUCUGCAUGGAGCCGACCUUGAAAUACCACCCUUUAAUGUUUGAUGUUCUAACGUGGACCCGUGAUCCGGGUUGCGGACAGUGUCUGGUGGGUAGUUUGACUGGGGCGGUCUCCUCCUAAAGAGUAACGGAGGAGCACGAAGGUUGGCUAAUCCUGGUCGGACAUCAGGAGGUUAGUGCAAUGGCAUAAGCCAGCUUGACUGCGAGCGUGACGGCGCGAGCAGGUGCGAAAGCAGGUCAUAGUGAUCCGGUGGUUCUGAAUGGAAGGGCCAUCGCUCAACGGAUAAAAGGUACUCCGGGGAUAACAGGCUGAUACCGCCCAAGAGUUCAUAUCGACGGCGGUGUUUGGCACCUCGAUGUCGGCUCAUCACAUCCUGGGGCUGAAGUAGGUCCCAAGGGUAUGGCUGUUCGCCAUUUAAAGUGGUACGCGAGCUGGGUUUAGAACGUCGUGAGACAGUUCGGUCCCUAUCUGCCGUGGGCGCUGGAGAACUGAGGGGGGCUGCUCCUAGUACGAGAGGACCGGAGUGGACGCAUCACUGGUGUUCGGGUUGUCAUGCCAAUGGCACUGCCCGGUAGCUAAAUGCGGAAGAGAUAAGUGCUGAAAGCAUCUAAGCACGAAACUUGCCCCGAGAUGAGUUCUCCCUGAGACUUAGAGUCUCCUGAAGGAACGUUGAAGACGACGACGUUGAUAGGCCGGGUGUGUAAGCGCAGCGAUGCGUUGAGCUAACCGGUACUAAUGAACCGUGAGGCUUAACCUUACAACGCCGAAG
rnacentral:rRNA from 2 species